UACGUAGGGUGCAGGCGUUAAUCGGAAUUACUGGGCGUAAAGCGUGCGCAGGCGGUUUGCUAAGAGAGAUGCGAAAUCCCCGGGCUUAACCUGGGAACUGCGUUUCUAACUGGCAGGCUUGAGUGUGGCAGAGGGGGGUGGAAUUCCACGUGUAGCAGUGAAAUGCGUAGAGAUGUGGAGGAACACCGAUGGCGAAGGCAGCCCCCUGGGCUAACACUGACGCUCAUGCACGAAAGCGUGGGGAGCAAACAGG
rnacentral:rRNA from 1 species